UGUAAGCGCAGCGAUGCGUUGAGCUAACCGGUACUAAUGAACCGUGAGGCUUAACCUUACAACGCCGAAG
rnacentral:rRNA from 5 species